rnacentral:rRNA from 1 species
CAGCAGCCGCGGUAAGACAGAGGAUGCAAGCGUUAUCCGGAAUGAUUGGGCGUAAAGCGUCUGUAGGUGGCUUUUCAAGUCCGCCGUCAAAUCCCAGGGCUCAACCCUGGACAGGCGGUGGAAACUACCAAGCUGGAGUACGGUAGGGGCAGAGGGAAUUUCCGGUGGAGCGAUGAAAUGCGUUGAGAUCGGAAAGAACGCCAACGGCGAAAGCACUCUGCUGGGCCGACACUGACACUGAGAGACGAAAGCUAGGGGAGCAAAUGGGAUUAGAUACCCCCGUAGUCCCUGUCUCUUAUAC